rnacentral:misc_RNA from 1 species
AAGUCGUAACAAGGUUUCCGUAGGUGAACCUGCGGAAGGAUCAUUAUGAAUUUGGAACUUGUGCAGCUUGUUUCGAUCCUUUAUUGGAUUGUGAACGCUCGCAAUUCUUUUUCUGUGAACUGGCGCAUUCUCUUAGUCGUUUGUCAAAAUUCUUUUUUGAUAAACGUGCCGAGUUUGCUCUUUUUUGUUUUCUUGUAUUAUUCCACUUUUUUUUUUGAGUAAUUCUUGCAAAAGAAUGAAAAAAAAAAAAUAAAACCAAGACAACUUUCAGCAAUGGAUCUCUUGGCUCUU